rnacentral:rRNA from 1 species
AUAUUGCACAAUGGGCGAAAGCCUGAUGCAGCAACGCCGCGUGAGUGAUGAAGGCCUUCGGGUCGUAAAACUCUGUCCUCAAGGAAGAUAAUGACGGUACUUGAGGAGGAAGCCCCGGCUAACUACGUGCCAGCAGCCGCGGUAAUACGUAGGGGGCUAGCGUUAUCCGGAUUUACUGGGCGUAAAGGGUGCGUAGGCGGUCUUUCAAGUCAGGAGUGAAAGGCUACGGCUCAACCGUAGUAAGCUCUUGAAACUGGGAGACUUGAGUGCAGGAGAGGAGAGUGGAAUUCCUAGUGUAGCGGUGAAAUGCGUAGAUAUUAGGGGGAACACCAGUUGCGAAGGCGGCUCUCUGGACUGUAACUGACGCUGAGGCACGAAAGCGUGGGGAGCAAACAGGAUUAGAUACCCUGGUAGUCCACGCUGUAAACGAUGAGUACUAGGUGUCGGGGG